GCGAGAGUGGCGGAACGGUAGACGCAGUCGACUCAAAAUCGACCGCCUUCGGGCAUGGGGGUUCGAAUCCCCCCUCUCGCACCA
rnacentral:tRNA from 1 species